UCUUGACAUCCCUCUGACCGGUCUUUAAUCGGACCUUCUCUUCGGAGCAGAGGUGGCAGGUGGUGCAUGGCUGUCGUCAGCUCGUGUUGUGAAAUGUUGGGUUAAGUCCCGCAACGAGCGCAACCCUUAUCCUUUGUUGCCAGCACGUAAUGGUGGGAACUCAAAGGAGACUGCCGGUGAUAAACCGGAGGAAGGUGGGGAUGACGUCAAGUCAUCAUGGCCCUUACGAGUAGGGCUACACACGUGCUACAAUGGCAGAUACAAAGAGAAGCGACCUCGCGAGAGCAAGCGGAACUCGUAAAGUCUGUCGUAGUCCGGAUUGGAGUCUGCAACUCGACUCCAUGAAGUCGGAAUCGCUAGUAAUCGUAGAUCAAAAUGCUACGGUGAAUACGUUCCCGGGUCUUGUACACACCG
rnacentral:rRNA from 1 species